CAGCAGCCGCGGUAAUACGGAGGGUGCAAGCGUUAAUCGGAAUUACUGGGCGUAAAGCGCACGCAGGCGGUCUGACAAGUCAGAUGUGAAAUCCCCGGGCUUAACCUGGGAACUGCAUUUGAAACUGUCAGGCUGGAGUCUUGUAGAGGGGGGUGGAAUUCCAGGUGUAGCGGUGAAAUGCGUAGAGAUCUGGAGGAAUACCGGUGGCGAAGGCGGCCCCCUGGACAAAGACUGACGCUCAGGUGCGAAAGCGUGGGGAGCAAACAGGAUUAGAUACCCCUGUAGUCCCUGUCUCUUAUAU
rnacentral:rRNA from 1 species